GAUGAAGAACGUAGCGAAAUGCGAUAAGUAAUGUGAAUUGCAGAAUUCAGUGAAUCAUCGAAUCUUUGAACGCACAUUGCGCCCCUUGGUAUUCCGAGGGGCAUGCCUGUUCGAGCGUCAUUUGUACCCUCAAGCCUUGCUUGGUGUUGGGCGUCUUGUCUCUAGCUUUGCUGGAGACUCGCCUUAAAGUAAUUGGCAGCCGGCCUACUGGUUUCGGAGCGCAGCACAAGUCGCACUCUCUAUCAGCAAAGGUCUAGCAUCCAUUAAGCCUUUUUUUCAACUUUUGACCUCGGAUCAGGUAGGGAUACCCGCUGAACUUAAGCAUAUCAAUAAGCGGAGGA
rnacentral:misc_RNA from 1 species